GCUUGAAUUUCUUUUUAAAAGCAUAAAGAUUGUUAUUAGAGGGUUCUUUAAGACCUAGAAAUUAUUGUUCAAAGUCAAGGUUUGUAUCAAUGAUUUGGAUUUUAUAAUAUAUAAUUAGGAGUAGCAAUUUUGGCUAGUUUGUAUAAUUGGUGUAACACCUAUGGUUGAAAUUUUGAAUUUUUUUGGAUUAUUAGGUGUGCUAAGUUUGUAAAUUUUUUUAAAAAUAAUCUAAUAGCGUGGUUUAGAGAUAUCUAGUUUUUAGUGCAAGAGGAUUUCGGAAGGUGGCAGUUUGAGGUUGGGUAGGAUUUCUAUGAUAUUUGAAAAUCUAUCAAUCGGAUUAAGGUGAAAAUUGGCAUGGCGUUGAAAGACUUGAAGAUCAAUCUACACACCAAUUUUGAGACAAAGUUAACGGUUGGAAAGGAAGAAAUAAUUGUUGGAAUUUCUGCUUCACAUUUCAAGUUGGCGGCCAAGUGACAUUAGUGCAAUUUUUGGAGGUUUUUUCAUAAUCAAUAAGUUGGAUUG
rnacentral:lncRNA from 1 species